CCUCGGUUGUCGGUAACGAGUAUAAAGUCUAGUUCACGUUGACGUUGGAUAUCGUGACUAGAUUUUUAUACUCGUUACCAACAACCGAUG
rfam:Trichomalopsis sarcophagae strain Alberta scaffold239, whole genome shotgun sequence.